CAUUCUACAUAUCGUUAUAUUGCCCUAGCCGCCAGGUUCGUCUUUCCUCUCAUCGCUUUUUCAUGAGCAACCUACCUCACACCCUCUAUUACUUUCAAGUUGCAGCAUAAUUGCUUUAGAGACUUAGCAAAAAAACCUCCAUGCUUCUGCUUACCCAGUUGCUCCAUCCUAGAACUCUACCUGAUCGGAUUGCAAGCAUGCUAUGUGGCUCUCGAAAUCUGCCGCACGGCCCCGGGCCACAGGCAUUGUGCUCAACACGAACUUCCCUUUGUUGACUAUUUUGAUCUCCUUUUUUCUCCAAAGAUCAGCGUGCUCAUAUUGUAGCAUCUCUUAGUCAACUGCUCGAGUUUGGCCUGCUGAUAAUUAUCAUAUUUCCAUUAUUUUAGCGUUUGGAUCUACGUGUUAUUGGCGUUGUUUCGAACGAUAGGGGAUUGCUGUGAUGACUGCGAAAUUCAAGCUCAACAGACCGGAUUACAUGUCUCUCAUAGAGGGAUCUGUAUGUCGACUAUCCCGCUGAACUGAGCUUUCUCCUUCUUUCGACUAGCAAAUUUACAUUUUCUCAAUUAGAGUUUGUUUAUCUUGCCAUUGCUGCUUCUACGUUUCUUCUAAUCUUUUCGAAGUUUGAUUUAUGGGAAGGCUAAUAUUAUGAUAAAAAAGCUCCCUCUUCUGGAAUGUUGUUGAGGACUCUUGCUGGCAGAAUCGAACCAAUUAUUUAAAUGGCCAUCACUGACUGUUUUGAAGGUCAGAUUUAAGUUAGGUCUAUCAAUUUACAUUUCAUCAAUCGGAUGGUGAUGAACUAAUUUCAGCAUAAUCCAACACUUGAACUGAGGACCUUCAUGUCCAAGUGCUGAAUCCCUUCUAAUGCUUCUGAAUCCGAUUUCAUCGGUACACCUUAUCUUAUUUUCUACUUUUUCUUUGUAGAAAAACGUUUUAACGUUGUUUUUUGUGGUUAUGAUGCUAUCAUCUUUGGCCAUCUUUCAUUUGAUGAAAGCUUAGAAUUAAUCUUAGUACACCUUCCUACACAUCUCAACUAGAGUUGUGGAUGAGAAUUCUUUUUAAUUCUGAUGAUAGUGUGGCCAUUCUGUUUUGUCCAAUUUCCUUGAUAAAUUCUUGUGGGUCCUUUUUCUUUAUGUAAAUUUAAUGAAUCCCUGUGAGGAGGCAAAGACCUCAGAUAGGAAGUGCCGUAUGACACUGUAUGCAGCCAUGUCAUCUUCUUUCCAACUCUUCUUCACUUCAUCUUCUUCAACCACCUCUUCAUAAAUCUAAUUUAUUUUAGGUAGAAUUGGUGCAGUUGAUUCAGUACAGCGAAGGAGUUGUUUUUGGUAUAGAGUGACUGGCUGCGUGCUUGAUUUUAAACGGGUCACUGAGGGUUUCCAAGUUAUUUUCUAUCCUGUUGUAGUGCCAUUUUCUACUAAAUUAUACAUCAUCCUUAUUUUGAACUGCCCAAUGCCACGUUAUCUGUAGCUUAGUGCAUUGACUGGUAAUGCUAUGAUUGGGCACAUACUGAACUGUUUUAUUGUGUUUCACAUUUUUAUAGGAAUCUUUGGAUUUCAUUAUUGAUGAUCCAUGGAGCCGUUUUUGUGAUUACAUUCAGAGGUUUGCUGUGCAUAUUGAAUAUAAUGUGCACUAGUUCUCCUCGGAUGGAAAAAAUUAUUAGGUUUGUCUAUAAUAAAGCGCAUUUAAAGCACAGUCAAAGCGCAAUUAUUGUAAUAAUUGUGUUUUGACUAUACUUUGAUUGCGCUUUUAUUGUAGACAAUCUGGAUGAUUCUCUCUGUUUCAGUGUCUUACCUAAUAAUUUCUCCCUCAUAUGGGGUGGUUCUGAUAUCCAUUUUAAAAUAGGGGUAAAAAGGUUUUAUCAAGUGUCCUUUUUUUGUUCUCUUGGUAGGAGAAACUAUUCUGUGCUUAGUUUGGACAGGAAGAAUCGUUCUGGUUGUUCUGUAUUUUGGAAAUAUUUAGCGAAAUAUGUAACAAAUAAUUAUAAAAUAUUCUGCAAAUACUCACUAAUACCUACAACUGUGUAUUUUGUGAGUAUUUACUGCAUAUUUGGAAAUAUACAAUAAAUACUCACAAAAUAUGUAGUAAAUCGGGACGGUUUUUCAUGUCAGGAUUAUGCACAGAAUAAUUUCUCUUGAUAGGACAUCCCUUGGUAAAAGUGGUAGAUGACUAACAUUAUUGGACCUCACAGUUGAGCAAAUGCCCUUAGGUUUUUUAUUUUUGCAUUUGAUGUUCCAUUAUUGAAUUAGGAGGAAAGCCUGUUUUUUUUCUCUUUCUGUUUCUGCUCCAUUUUAAAUUUAUUCCUAAGCGUACAACAACAACAUCACUGGAGUCUGGAGCAUUUCCAACCUUUUCAUGAAUAUAAUUGUUUCUCAUUCGUAUUGCUUAAUUUAAAUUUACCUGAGCUCGUUUGAAAGGGGAUUGCUGUGAUGAUUCAAAAAUUUCAAGCUCAACAGACCGUAUUACAAGUCUCUCUUUGAGAGAUCUGUAUGUCGACUACUCAACAGAAUUGAGCUUUCUCCUUUUGAAUUUCUUUCGUAUUUUUAGAUUAGGGUUUGUUUUUCAUCGCUGCUUUAACGCUUCUUCGAAUCAGUUAUUUUAAAUUUCAUUUGUGCGAAGGCCACUAUGAUGAUAAAGAAGCUCCCUCUUCUGAGAUGUUAUUGAGGACUCUUGCUGGCAGAAUCGAACCAAUUAUUAUUAUCGCCAUCACUGAGUGGGCCUUCUACAUCACCAAUUAUUUUUAUUUUAAAAGACGUUUUGUGUCCUAAGUACUCUCAGCAUAAUCUAACACUUGAACGAGGAAUUUCUCGCCAAUACAUUGAAUCUGAAUUUGAUUUCGUUGGUUUAUCUUACUCAUUUAUUUUUUUCCCUCUUUAAGGGGAGAAAUUAUUUUGUGCCGAUACCGGAUGGCAAGAAUCGUUCUAAUUUGUUGCGUUUUAAUUGUCAUUUUGUUGAGCUUUUGUAAAUACUCAGCAAAAGUUUCAAAUAUACUUUUGUUGAGUUACAAAUAUCUUCCUAAUUGACUAUUUGUUUCUUUUUUACAAAUGUUUGGCAACAAAAGUGCAUUCAUGAUUGCAUGUUUGCUAUUUUUUUUAAUAUUUAAUAAAAAAACAGCAACUCCUAACGGUUUUUUUUUUCUGUCCGGUCUCCUUACAGAAUAAUUUCUACUCUUAAGGGAAGCUUUUUUUUUUUUAUGCUAUUAUGCAUGGCCAUCUUUCAUAUGAUGAAAGCAUAGAAUUAAUCUUAGGACACCUUCCUACACAGCUCAACUAGAUGAGUUGUGGAUGAGAAAUUUCUUUUUAAAUCUGAUGAUAGUGUGGCCAUGCUGUUUAGUCCCUUUGUUUCAUAUCUUUUGUAGGCACGGUUCAUUGCUGUUUACAAACAUAACAAUUUAAUGUGAAUUUGGCUUUAGACCAAACGGAGUAAUUUGCUUUUGUGCUUGAUCGAUUUUUAACGGAUCACUGGCGAAUUCCGAGUUGUUUUUACAUUAUUUUUUUGCAUUAUUUCUAUACAUGUUCUAUUACCCGAAUUUUCGACUGCCCAUUGCCACAAGACACAUGUAGCUUCAUGCAUUGACUGGCAAUAGUAUGCUUAGGCUUAAAUUAGAGUGCCAUGUUUUGGUGUUUAGGAAUCUAUGGAUUUGUUUGUUAAUAAUUCACGGAGGCGAUUUUUGUAAUUACUUGGGAAGGUGUAACACGUUCAUAUUGGUUUUGGCAGAAGCGAAAUUUUUGUAAGGUACAAUUGUAUUAUAGAUUUCUUUCAUGAAAAGUUUGAGUAUAUUCUUUACAAAUUUUCAUGGUAGUAAAUAUGGUAAUGAAAAGCUUCUCACUGCAAUAGUAUUUGGCACCAAAUAUAGGUGUUGCAGAAAUUGCCUCAAGGAAGUAGCAUUAUAUUUUAGGCUAUUUACUGUUUUUUCAAGUAAUUUUGUAUUACCACACAGCUCAUCUUGGCCUAUUGGUUGAGAGCUUAUGCUUCAACUAAGAGAUCCUGGGUUCUAGUCUUUGUGUAUACGUGGUGUGUGUGAGUUUGCUUUAAUUGGCCUAAAUGUCCCAAAAAAAAAAAACUGUAUUACCGAAAAAAUCUUAACUAGAACAUUAUUUUGAUUUUGGAGCA